GACGAACGCUGGCGGCGUGCUUAACACAUGCAAGUCGAACGGAAAGGCCCUGCUUUUGUGGGGUGCUCGAGUGGCGAACGGGUGAGUAACACGUGAGUAACCUGCCCUUGACUUUGGGAUAACUUCAGGAAACUGGGGCUAAUACCGGAUAGGAGCUCCUGCUGCAUGGUGGGGGUUGGAAAGUUUCGGCGGUUGGGGAUGGACUCGCGGCUUAUCAGCUUGUUGGUGGGGUAGUGGCUUACCAAGGGUUUGACGGGUAGCCGGCCUGAGAGGUUGACCGGCCACAUUGGGGCUGAGAUACGGACCAGACUCCUACGGGAGGCAGCAGUGGGGAAUAUUGCACAAUGGGCGGAAGCCUGAUGCAGCAACGCCGCGUGCGGGAUGACGGCCUUCGGGUUGUAAACCGCUUUCGCCUGUGACGAAGCGUGAGUGACGGUAAUGGGUAAAGAAGCACCGGCUAACUACGUG
rnacentral:rRNA from 1 species